UGGAUCACCUCCUAACAGGGAGACAACAACUGAUUUUGAUGUCUGAGUAAUUUAUUCUCAGGCCGAAAUCCUGUCAUCUCGAAGGUCGAUCGGUACCUCAACUUGAGGGUCUAGAGAGUUUAUUCUGCUAGGUCAACUCAAUUUCAGUUCCUAAACUUUGUCUAGGUCACCCACUAAGGGUACAUAACUCCUGGGCCAUUAGCUCAGGUGGUUAGAGCGCACCCCUGAUAAGGGUGAGGUCCCUGGUUCAAGUCCAGGAUGGCCCAUUCGUGUUUGGGGGUUUAGCUCAGUUGGUAGAGCGCCUGCUUUGCAAGCAGGAUGUCAGCGGUUCGAGUCCGCUAACCUCCAUCCAACCGGAGGCCCCUUGGUUCGAAUUCUGAAAGGAGUUCCUGGUGAGGUGACAUAGAUUAAAUUCGGAACUGGCAUUAAAAGAUGACCAGGUAAGCAACGCUGAGUCAACCGACUCCAGCCUCGUUUCAUUCCAGAGUUUAUCGACAGACAAAUUUUUUGAGAGAUCAAGAGAGUUUGUUUGGAGAUUAAUUGGUUGAAACGAUGCUGGACUCAAGGCUUUUAACCAAAGCCUUAAGUUUCAGCAGAACCUUGACAACUGCAUAGGUAAGUCUGGAAAUAAAGCAUCUCAUGGAUGCCCAGACGCGUAAGAGAUCAAGUGAGGGUGAAUAACCUGAGCUUGAAAUUUUUGUGUGUUUGGGAAAAUUCUAUUGAGUUUUUAGAGCCGAGAAAUCCAAUGGUUCUUUUCAGCCAUCCAAGUUAACUGCGUGGAGGGCUAGAAGAGUUUGAUCCUGUGAUUCAAACCAGUUCAUUUAUGAACCAGGUGAAUGCAGAGAGAAUGGGCCUCAACAGCCUGAAGCCAUUGGAGGAUAAUUUGGUCAAGCUACAAAGGGCUCACGGUGGAUACCUUGGCACACAGAGGCGAUGAAGG
rnacentral:tRNA from 1 species